rnacentral:rRNA from 1 species
AUACGUAGGGGGCGAGCGUUGUCCGGAAUGACUGGGCGUAAAGGGCGUGUAGGCGGCGGUGUAAGUCUGGAGUGAAAGUCCCGCAUUCAAUGUGGGAAUUGCUUUGGAUACUGCAGUGCUAGAGUGCGGAAGAGGUAAGUGGAAUUCCCAGUGUAGCGGUGAAAUGCGUAGAGAUUGGGAGGAACACCAGUGGCGAAGGCGGGUAACUGGACUGCAACUGACGCUGAGGCGCGAAAGUGUGGAGAGCAAACAGGAUUAUGUACCCUGGUAGUCCACACUGUAAACGAUGAAUGCUAGGUGUAGGAGGUAUCGACCCCUUCUGUGCCGCAGUAAACACAGUAAGCAUUCCGCCUGGGGAUUACGGUCUCAAGAUUAAAACUCAAAGGAAUUGACGGGG